UUUACACAAAUUAUUUUUACACUUCUGUAUACACAGAUGAUGUUGGUCUUGGUCUUAUUGGUUUGGACUUGGAGCUCCUGAACUGUCAACCAAAAACUGUCUCUUCUGGAUUUACUGAGGAAGGACAUUGGUGAAAUGAAGAGUGAUCUGGAGUCCACUCAAAAUCAAAUUACACUUUUACGAAUGGACUACAGAACAAUCAAAGAGCCGAAGACUGUCGGUGUAAAGGUAAAACCAGCAGUCUCCAAGGAAAAGGUCAAAACAGCAAAAAAAGACCAUGAUGCUCUGGUGAACGUUACGAAGAUGACAGCACAUAUUAAAGCAGAACGUGACGCACUGAAAAACAUCAGUAAACCAGCACCUGCAAAGAAAGGUAUGUCGGAAAGCUAUGUAACAGCAGCUAUAUUAUACAAAUAUGCAAAUGUUAA
rnacentral:lncRNA from 1 species